rnacentral:ncRNA from 1 species
CAAAAGACGUGGAUCGGGAAUAGUAUCUGUCAAAGCGAGAUUCAGAGAGCUGGGGGAAGCUGAGAGCCCGGUAUCGGCGCAGACAGAGAAUGGGCCUGGGAGUUGCGUGGCCGAACGACUGGUCAGUAAGUCACGCCGGGAUCGCCCCCGUUAUCAGGGCAGAGGGUAUCGGGUGGAGUGCACUGAGAGCACGCAUCCUGUACCUGCAGAGUGAGGCUGGCUCCGAGCAUGUUCCCCGCCAUCACGGCGGGGGUUUCNNNNNNNNNNNNNNNCUAAUAGGGGUGGCACCGCGGGCGCUUUGGGCUCUCGUCCCUUGG